GUUAGGCUGCUGGAGCUGUGGGUGCCAUCUUGCCACGUUGGAGGAAGAGCCCACCUGAGAAUGACAUCAACUCAGAGGGAAGUCAGCAGGGCCAAGAGGCCGGGAGAGAUGAUUCCUGAUGACAUCAUCCGGUUCCUGGGUGCAGCCAUGGUAGAGUUGGCCUCGAACGUUGUCCCUGGCAUGGAGGUGACCAGAGGCCACCCUCACAUGUCAGCAGACACCUCCAGCCGUGUCAUUCGUGUUCCUGGUUAGCAAAGUUUGUAGGGGUAGUAUUCUCAGUUGGCAUUCCUAGCUGAGAUGUGUAGCCGGGAGGUCACCACGCUGCAGGGCCUUGGAACCACUUCUGCCUCCGAGGAGUCCCUUACUGAUGAUCAUAGGCUCCUCAAGGUCAUCAGCCAGGGCAGCUUUGCAGAAGUCAAGGCAGCUGGCCCAGCACAUUCUCACUGGGACCAAGAUGGCUGUGGAGGUCACCCCAACAGGGCAGCAGGGCUCCUGCAGCCCCCAGGGUCUGUACUGCAGGGACCAUAUGAUGAAGGCCCUUAAUCACCCGAAGAUCAUCAGACCCACGUGGCUGGCACCGAGAACAGGCUGUUCCUAGUCAUGGAUUAAGCCAGCUCGGGAGAGCUAUCCGACUUCACCCUCGAAUUCUUCUUGAAGGGGGAAGAGGCCUGAGGCAAGUUCCAGCAAAUAGGAUAUUCCAUGCAGUGAGGCUUCCAGAAGGAAAUUAUCCACAGGGAUCUGAAGUCAGAGAACUUCCCUGAGGAGGCUCAGCACGACAUGGAAACAACAGACGCUGGCUUUGAUACCAGAUUCACCGUAGGCUGAAAGCUGAUCCCCUUCGGUGGGAGCUCCUCUUAUACAGCCUCAGAACUGUUCCCCGGGACAAAAGUACGAUGUACCCUGGUGGGCGUGUGGAGCCUGGGAGCCACUGUCUACACCAUGGUGGCCGAGGACUGCCAUCUGUUGGGCAGACUUUUGUGGGGCUGAGGACGACACUAAUACUGUGUGAAUGGUGACAGGCGAUCCCAUUCCUUGUUUCCAUAGAACGAGAAUGCCUCAUAAACACAAUUCUGGCCGUUGACUCCAGGGAGAGGCCCUCACUAGCCCUCAUCAUGGGGCGCCUAUGGAUUAACAUGGGCCAGGAGGAGACGCUAACUAAGGCCAUACUGGGAGCUGCUCCCCGAUCACCCGGAGUCUGGAAAGCGCUCCUGGUGUCCCCGGGAGAUGAGGCAGACCAUGUCCCAUCGUUGUUGAAAAAAUAUGUGAUGAUACCAUGGCCGGCUAUCAGAUCCUGGGCUGCAGGAAACCCGAGGUGUGGGGCGCCAUCAUCACAGUGAAGCUCCUGCCUUCAGCAGAUCCUACUACUUGCCGCCAUUCUCCCCCAUCACAUGAAAAAAACUCCUCUAAUGAAUAUUAAACUUGUACUGGAAAAAGGUCAAUAAAUAAAUAAAUAAGAUAUAGUC